ensembl:snRNA U6 U6 spliceosomal RNA
AUGCUCACUUUGACAACACAUAUACUAAAGUUGGAACAAUGCAAAGAAGAUGAUCAUAGCCCCUGUGCAAAAAUGACACACAAAUUUCUGAAGCUUUCCAUAUUUUA